rnacentral:rRNA from 1 species
AUUGAACGCUGGCGGCAGGCCUAACACAUGCAAGUCGAACGAGUGGCGGACGGGUGAGUAAUGUCUGGGAAACUGCCCGAUGGAGGGGGAUAACUACUGGAAACGGUAGCUAAUACCGCAUACCAUCGGAUGUGCCCAGAUGGGAUUAGCUAGUAGGUGGGGUAAAGGCUCACCUAGGCAACGAUCCCUAGCUGGUCUGAGAGGAAGACCAGCCACACUGGGACUGAGACACGGCCCAGACUCCGACGGGAGGCAGCAGUGGGGAAUAUUGCACAAUGGGCGAAAGCCUGAUGCAGCCAGGCCGCGUGUAUGAAGAAGGCCUUCGGGUUGUAAAGUACUUUCGGCGGGGAGGCGUUACCCGCAGAAGAAGCACCGGCUAACUCCGUGCCAGCAGCCGCGGUAAUUC